UACGUAGGUGGCAAGCGUUGUCCGGAAUUAUUGGGCGUAAAGCGCGCGCAGGUGGUUUCUUAAGUCUGAUGUGAAAGCCCACGGCUCAACCGUGGAGGGUCAUUGGAAACUGGGGGACUUGAGUGCAGGAGAGAAGAGUGGAAUUCCACGUGUAGCGGUGAAAUGCGUAGAGAUGUGGAGGAACACCAGUGGCGAAGGCGACUCUUUGGCCUGUAACUGACGCUGAGGCGCGAAAGCGUGGGGAGCAAACAGG
rnacentral:rRNA from 1 species